rnacentral:rRNA from 1 species
AGAGUUUGAUCCUGGCUCAGAACGAACGCUGGCGGCAGGCUUAACACAUGCAAGUCGAGCGCCCCGCAAGGGGAGCGGCAGACGGGUGAGUAACGCGUGAGAACGUACCCUUUACUACGGAAUAACGCAGGGAAACUUGUGCUAAUACCGUAUGUGCCCUUCGGGGGAAAGAUUUAUCGGUAAGGGAUCGGCCCGCGUUGGAUUAGCUAGUUGGUGGGGUAAAGGCCUACCAAGGCGACGAUCCAUAGCUGGUCUGAGAGGAUGAUCAGCCACAUUGGGACUGAGACACGGCCCAAACUCCUACGGGAGGCAGCAGUGGGGAAUAUUGGACAAUGGGCGCAAGCCUGAUCCAGCCAUGCCGCGUGAGUGAUGAAGGCCCUAGGGUUGUAAAGCUCUUUCACCGGAGAAGAUAAUGACGGUAUCCGGAGAAGAAGCCCCGG